rnacentral:lncRNA from 1 species
CUGGGGCUUUUCUGUGGCUUCAGAGUCCUGCUGCCUCCUCAGGAUCCCUGAAUUCAUCCACUCUUCCCCAUCUCCACCGUCACAGCCCACACCUGGGCACCAACAUCCCUGACUUGGACCAUGGACCACCUUGCAAUGAAUUGCAUUAUGUCCACUGAGGCUGCAGUGAGGAGGAUAAAUGCGGGUGGACCUCCACAGGAACAAAUCAUAUCCAUGUCAGGCGGCACCAAACCUAAAUCUGCUUCUGCCUCAGCAGACAGGACAUGGUAACUGUGGCUUCUGCAGCAUUUGGGAUGGAAAAACAUGGGAUGCAAACCAAUUCUAGCAAUGCCUAGAGAUGCAGGGGAUAGAAAUUUCUUCUGUAAGAAUGUACUAGAUAAAAUGUAUAUUUGUUGAAACAAUUAGCUACUCCUUGACCAACAAGGCGAGAGCUCCACUAUAUGGCAUCACCCAUGUAGAUCGUGAACAACAAAGCAUAAUUUGAUCUGACCACCUCAAAACAUUGUUUUUGUUUCCUAUUAUAUUAGGUUGUCCCCACAAAAUUCAUGUCCACCUGAAACUCAGAAUUUGGAAAUAGGGUCUUUGCAGAUGUUGUUGCUUAGGUUAGGAUGAGGUCAUACUCGGUUAGGAUGGGCCCUAAAUAUGGUGUGCUUAUAGGAAAACCAGGUGAAGACACAGAAGAGAAGGCCAUGUGAAGAGGGAGGCAGAGAUUGGAGGCAUACUGUCACAAGCCAAGGUGCGCCUGGGGCCAUCAGGAGCCAGGAGAGGCAAGGAAGAAUUUUCCCCUAGAGCCUUGGGAGGGAGUACAGUGCUGACAGUACCCUAAUUUAGCAUGUCUAGCCUCUAGAACUGUGAGAGAAUAUAUUUCUGUUGCUUUAAGCCACAUAAGUUUAUGGUGAUUUGUUAUGGGAGACCUAGGAAGCUAGUGUACCUGGUAGCUGGUAGACUUUGGGUGAGACUGGGACAGGUACUGCUAAUGGUCAGAGUUUUAAGAGAGGCAAGCAGAGAAACCCCCGUCUCCAUUGCUUCAUGACUUUGUUGCAACACAAACAUUCAUGGUGCUUUUAUUAUACACAAAUUGCUGUGCAGGCCACAGGGGAUGGAGAAAGCAGUUAGACACAGUCCUGGUCUGGUGGAGCUUAUGCUCAGGCAGAGAGAUGGCAGGAUAAAAAGAUGGCUGCUUCACAAGGGAGAAAAAGCAGAGCAGGGACCCAGCCUACGUUUCCCACAGAGACUGCUGUAGUGGGGCGGGUAAGGGGGCAUGAGUUGUUUGAGACCAAGCUGGCAACAAACUGGAGAAAGGCCUGAGUGCAGGGGGUAGGGGAGAGAGGGAGGGAGGAGAUGGACUUAACCCAUUUUCCAUGAGGAUGAAACUGGGAGGAGAGUGAAAGUGCUUCAAGGUGAUUUUUCCAAAGGAUUUCUGGAUGGGGUGCUGUUCAGUGUCUGGUGUUGUGCUUUUGACAAAACCAACAGUGAAACUCUCCAUUAUUACCUAAAGCUUUCAGAGUGAGACCAAUGUUCCUCUGAUGUGGCAUCUUAUAGAUACAUGGUCAUGAGACCUUCUGGCUUUACACAGGUUACUCAUGGACGCAGAUAUUCAUAGUAGAAGGUGGGAUGUGAGCUGGGCAGGAGGCAAGCUGCAAACAAAGCAGCAAUUGAGGCCAGAAAAGGUGAAGGCACAUUCUGUUUGGGAGCUACUCUUUGCUUCCCUAAGAUUCUCCACAACCUAAUGUAGCUACAAUCAAAAGGCAAUUUACUGCCAAGUAAGUGAUAUGGUUUGGCUGUGUCCGCACCCAAAUCUCAUCUUGAAUUGUAGCUCCCAUAAUUCCCACGUGUUGUGGGAGGAAUCUGGUGGGAGAUAAUUGAAUUAUGGGGGCGGUUUCCCUCAUACUGUUCUCGUGGUAGUGAAUAAGUCUUACAACAGCUGAUGGUUUUACAAGGGGAAACCCCUUUUGCUUGGCUCUCAUUUCCUCUUGCCUGCUGCUAUGUAAGAUGUGCCUUUCACCUUCCACCAUGAUUGUGAGGCUUUCUCAGCCACGUGGAACUGUGAA